UAGGAAGUAGUAUAAUAGGAAGUACAUAGAGUUUUGAUCUCUAGGGAGUAGGUUCAAGUCCUGUUUUUCUAA
rnacentral:tRNA from 1 species